UCAGAAGGGAAGCGUAUAGCUAACACUCUCCUUAUUUCCCCUAACAUGUCGCAUUGAAUAGAGCUUAACUCACAUUAUCUUAUCCCUCCAAACAUGUCCUAGGGUCUCAACGCCCAAAAUCACUAUACAUAUAGAUGAGUACUCACAAUCUUAUGGCAUGCCAACUAUAUCCAACGCUUUCAAGAUCGCAAGGCUACAAUACCCAA
rnacentral:lncRNA from 1 species